rnacentral:rRNA from 1 species
AUUGAACGCUGGCGGCAGGCCUAACACAUGCAAGUCGAGCGAGCGGCGGACGGGUGAGUAAUGUCUGGGAAACUGCCUGAUGGAGGGGGAUAACUACUGGAAACGGUAGCUAAUACCGCAUACCAUCGGAUGUGCCCAGAUGGGAUUAGCUAGUCGGUGGGGUAAAGGCUCACCUAGGCGACGAUCCCUAUCUGGUCUGAGAGGAUGACCAGCCAGACUGGAACUGAGACACGGUCCAGACUCCUACGGGAGGAAGCAGUGGGGAAUAUUGGACAAUGGGCGAAAGCCGUAUGCAGCCAUGCCGCGUGUAUGAAGAAGGCCUUCGGGUUGUAAAGUACUUUCAGCGGGGAUGCGUUACCCGCAGAAGAAGCACCGGCUAACUACGUGCCAGCAGCCGCGGUAAUAC